rnacentral:rRNA from 1 species
CCUACGGGAGGCUGCAGUGAGGAAUAUUGGUCAAUGGACGAGAGUCUGAACCAGCCAAGUAGCGUGAAUGAUGACUGCCCUAUGGGUUGUAAACUUCUUUUAUAUGGAAGUAAAAUGUUCCACGUGUGGGAGUUUGUAUGUACCAUAUGAAUAAGGAACGGCUAACUCCGUGCCAGCAGCCGCGGUAAUACGGAGGAUCCGAGCGUUAUCCGGAUUUAUUGGGUUUAAAGGGAGCGUAGUUGGAUUGGUAAGUCAGUUGUGAAAGUUUGCGGCUCAACCGUAGAAUUGCAGUUGAAACUGGCAGGCUUGAGUACAGUAGAGGUGGGCGGAAUUCGUGGUGUAGCGGUGAAAUGCUUAGAUAUCACGAAGAACUCCGAUGGCGAAGGCAGCUCACUGGACUGCAACUGACACUGAGGCUCGAAAGUGUGGGGAUCAAACAGGAUUAGAUACCCUUGUAGUC